UAUGCAAUGCUUAAAAAUGCAUAAAGAGCAGGUCCGCAUGCACUGAUCAAUAAUUAUAAGCCCAGCACUUUGGGAGGCCAAGGCGCGUGGAUCAUCUGAGGUCAGGAGUUCAAGACCAGUCUGGCCAACAUGGCAAAACCCCAUCUCUACUACCAAUACAAAAAAUUAGCCCGGCAUGGUGGCACAUGCCCAUAGACCCUGUUACUCAGAAGGCCGAGGCAGGAGAAUUGCUGGAAUCCGGGAGGCGGAGGUUGCAGUGACCUGAGAUCUCACCACUGCACUCCAGCCUGGGNNNNNNNNNNNNNNNNNNNNNNUAAAAAAAAAAAAAAAAUAAUAAUAAUAAUAAAUAAUUAAAUUAAAAUAAAUAAAUAAAAAUUUCUCUUGCCCCUUCCACCCCUCCCUUCGGGAGUUUAAGGAAAAUCACCACAAAAGAGAAAACUAAAGUCAGUCAAAAGCUGCUUAAAGGAUGUGCAAUUACAUGUGAUUGAGAAAGUCUGUAUGAUUAAAGCCAGAAAGAAGGCUGCGUACUUGGCAAAUACUAGGCACUGUAUUUAGGCAAAUAUUCUUUCAACUAUCAGUCUCUUCCUCCCACAACACACCUCCCUAAUUUGCAAAGAUUUGUGUAAUAGAUCAGUGGUUCUCAAAGUGUGGUCCCAGACCCCAAACAGGAUCACAUGGGAACUUGACAGAAAUGCAAAUUCUCAUCAUCCAACCAGCCCGAGACCUGCUGAAUCCGAAACCUUGGGGUAGGGCCCAGCCCUGUGAGCUUUAACAAGCAGCCCAGGGGAUUCUGACCUGGGAGACCCACUGUACUCUGCCUGGAUCCUUCAGUGCGGACCAGGGACCCAGCACCAGCAGGGGCCACAGGCACAGAAGCCAGGUGUUGCUCUGAUCCUUAUAGCUGCAGAGGUGGCCAAAGACCCCUCCCCAGCUGCUUCCCCCACAAGUGGGGGCUUGGGACACAUCCCAGGUGGCAUAGCUGUGGUGGUGGCAGUGGUAGGAGGCCCAGGUUGAGACAUGAGGGGAAGAGCAAUGUCUAGGGCAACAGUCCCUGAACUUGUUUGCACAAGGUACUCACCCAGAAGCCUCGAAAACACGGAUGCCCAGUCCCACCCCUGGAAAUGGUGAUUCAGUUGGUCUAGAGGUGGGGGUGGCAGCCUGGCUUUGGAAUCUUCAAAGCUCCCCAGGUGAUAAUAAUGUGCAAACAAGUUUAGAUCUGCC
rnacentral:lncRNA from 1 species